rnacentral:tRNA from 1 species
AUCUUUGAUGGUCUAACGGUCAUGAUUUCCGCUUGUCAUGUGACAAAGCGCGGGAGACCGGGGUUCGACUCCCCGUCAGAGAG